rnacentral:rRNA from 1 species
CUUUGACCUCAAAUCAGGUAGGAGUACCCGCUGAACUUAAGCAUAUCAAUAAGCGGAGGA